rnacentral:rRNA from 1 species
GGACUACUAGGGUAUCUAAUCCUGUUUGCUCCCCGCACUUUCGCGCCUCAGCGUCAGUCAUCGGCUAGAAGUCCGCCUUCGCCACCGGUGUUCUUCCUGAUAUCUACAGAUUUCACCCCUACACCAGGAAUUCCGACUCCCCCUCCGUGACUCUAGUCACACAGUUUCUAACGCAGCUCAUGAGUUAAGCUCAUGCAUUUCACGCCAGACUUGCAUAACCGCCUACGCGCCCUUUACGCCCAAUAAUUCCGAACAACGCUCGCCCCUUACGUGUUACCGCGGCUGCUGGCAC